rnacentral:rRNA from 1 species
GGACUACCGGGGUAUCUAAUCCCGUUGGCUCCCCUGGCUUUCGCACCUCAGCGUCAGUCGCCUCCCAGAACCCUGCCUGCGCCUGUGGUGUUCCUCCGGAUCUCUACGCAUUUCACCACUCCACCCGGAAUUCCAGGUUCCUCUGAGGCUCUCAAGCCACGCCGUCUUCCCGGCACUCCUCACGUGAAGCGUGAGGCUGGCACCGGAAACGCGCGCAGCCGCCUGCGUGCCCUUUACGCCCAGUAACUCCGGACAACGCUUGCCCCCUACGUCUUACCGCGGCUGCUGGCAC